UUAAUGGAGAGUUUGAUCCUGGCUCAGGACGAACGCUGGCGGCAUGCCUAACACAUGCAAGUCGAACGGACUUUUAGUUUUUAGUUUACUAAAUACUAAAAGUUAGUGGCGGACGGGUGAGUAACGCGUGGGUAACCUGCCCAUAAGUUGGGGAUAACUCCGGGAAACCGGUGCUAAUACCGAAUAAGCUUAAUUUACCGCAUGGUAGAUUAAGUAAAGAUGGCCUCUUUACAAUGCUAUCGCUUAUGGAUGGACCCGCGUCUGAUUAGCUAGUUGGUGAG
rnacentral:ncRNA from 1 species